CUCCUGGGCCCCCUGGCACCUUGCUCAUGGUCCCCUUGAGAGCAAACUGCUUUCUCCAAACGAGAGGGGCAGAUUGAGAGAGAGUGCCAAGAAGUUAAACCCUUCAUCCCAGGUAUGUAUGUUAGUACCACAAGCCCCCGGGGCUGCCACAUUGCACAGCUCAGCCCUACCUGGGGCCUUGCCAGUCCCUAACCGUGUGCCCCAGCCUCAUGCUUCUCUGAGAAAGCUUCCUUCUUUUUGUGUUUGCCUUGCAGGUCUGACUUGCAAAUCUUUCCAUUCUGCCUUGCAAAUCUUCUCCGACUUUUUAGGAAACCCCACCUUCAAACCCCAGGGAUUUUUCUCACCCCAAAGCAUUCCCUUCCCCAGCAGUACAAUUCCUUAAGCCUGAGUUAUUUAGUCUGGAAUGAUAUCCAGAGGGUCAGCAGGGCAGACCACAGAGGGUAGUGGCACUCUGUUCCACAAAAUAGUCAGGCAGGUUGGGGAACAUCUCACCAGUCUCCUUUAGAACCUCCCCUCCCCCCCCCACUACCACCACCCUGUGAGUAUCAGGUAAGCUUCUUUACUUUUCUGAUUAACCAGUGGAUAGCUAUUAGAUAACACACACAUCUCUAAUAAACAGUUUUCAAUCUAAAGCCCUAAAGCUAAAUGAAGUCUGCAAACAUCUUCUAUUUGGCCAGUGCUGUGUUUUCGAAAAUGUUUGAGAAUUUGAACUCCUUUAGAUAGGGCAUGCCCCCUCAAUUAGCCAUAGUCCCCACUGUUUCCUGGAGCCCUACAUCCAGGCUAAUUCUCUCAUUUAUAUUAUCUGUGUUGCCCCAUAGGCAUCUGGGUUUGCAACUACUCUUCCAAACCCACGAGGAAGAAGAGAAACAUUUUCCUAAUUGUCCCCUAAUUUGGAAGUCUGCUUCUCUCUCAGUGGAGUUUGUCCUGCACAUUAUUACUGGUAUUGUGCCUGAUCUGAUCUUUUCCUGUAACCCCCUUCCUCCUUUCAAAUAGGCUUCCUUGGCUCUAUUGGAAUUUUAAAAUUCCAUUACUGGCUCCUUGUCUCUUAAAUGUUGUUCUUCUAAUUAUACAAACAAACUGUCAAAGUUUUGAAACUGUCUGUGGGGUUGGGGCAAGAUAGUGGGAAGGGUAGGCUGCACCAUAUCCAUACCACCAAGCUGAGCAGGAGAGAGGUUCUGACCUGGCUCUGGGACUGGCCUUCAGACUGUGCUCUUCUUCCCAGUGUGAGCAGAAAAGAAUUGCUCUGAAUCGAGUCACUAAGACUUGGGAGAAUGAAGGGGCAGCCAACAGCAGUUGCAGUAGAGGAUUCGGAUCAAGUUAACCAGAGGUCCCCAAUGUUGCAAUGUGAGCCACUCUCCAUCCCACAUGCUGCCCAUUCCCACAGCCUGGCAGCCAUGAUUAAACAAUCGCAGCACACUUUCCCACCAAGCCGGCUACUCCCUCACAAGCCUUCUUGGUCCAUCACUCUGGGCAGCCACUACAGCUUGCACAAAGCUGACAACUGUGAUGAAACCUAUUUCCUAUCCUUGGUGUAAGGGGUAGUAUGCUGGAUUCUGGUUUCAAUCCUGCCAUUGACUCACUAGGCUAUCUGGGGCUUGGGCAAGGCUGUUUACCUCUGUAGGUCUGUUCUCUCAUCUGUUAAAUGAGGUUGUUGGGUAGGUGAUUAAUCGGUUUCGAAGCUCAUGUCAAGGCUAAGUGAGUGGAGUGAUGAUUUGGGUGAGGAGGGCUGGAAAAGAACAGAAAAGGAGGGGAUCCCAGUGGGUCCAUGUCCCUGAGAGGGUCCCUAAGUUAGUAGAAUUCAUGCCAAAGCUGACGGCCACAUUUAGAUAAGCAGAAGGGCAUUCCAAGCAGGUACAAUCAGCAAAGGCGUGGAGGUGAGAGUGUACUGAACAGGGAGAGGGGCCGUAAAUUAACAAUAAUUUCAUAAAUUCCUGUGCUGGAUGCAUGCAUUCACUCCAUGAACCUUCCUGCGUCCUCCGAGCUGUCGGGCAUUGUGCUAGGUACUGAGAUCCUCUUGUGAAUGAAUGACACACGCAGAGCUGCUGGUGCUGUAAGCUGGCUGUUCACCCACAGUGAAGCAUGAACAGGGCUGGAAGCACCUUGCCCUGUGGCCCUUGCGGAGAGGUUUUCUUUGGUAUCAAAUGAACAGCAUCGACAUUAAGUUCAUGGAAGAUACAAAAACGCAUGCGAGAGUAGUGCUGCAAAGCCAAGGCAAAUAGAUGGCUAUGACUGGAGCACUUUCCUCUUCAUCAGAGAGACUUUUGGCACGCGUGAGAGAUGGCUCAUGCGUGCCUAUUGGCUGCCAUUAGCUGACUUGCGCGUGUUGUUUAUCUUUAUUUCUCAGUGUUUUGUGUGUGACUUGGGCUUCAAGAAUUAAAUAAAAAAUAGUUUAUAUUUUACUAUUUCAUUCUACUAAGUUGUUCAAUCCAUCAAGAAUUAUGUCAAGUGCUGAAAAGAAAAAAUUUCAGCAAGAUCUGAAAGAAUAUCUAGCCAAACACACACAUACACACACACACACACACACACACACAAUGCAUAAAUGGAUAUGCAAUAUAUCUGUGGUAUUAAAAUUUCACAGGGGCAGUGGUUAGGGAAAAAAAUGUCUAAAAAGACUCUUGGGAAGGUAAUAACAGGUUGAGAACACUGCACUGGAUGAUUUUAAAGGUCCUUCCAGCUGUGAGAUUCUGUAGGUCCGUGACUGGGAAUUGUCCUCUGGGUUGGUAUCCGUCUAGCACAGCAAUGUCACUUAUUGUCUUGUGAAUUUGGAAAAG
ensembl:lncRNA